GAGCGUAUAGCUCAGUGGUAGAGUGCGUGCUGAGCACGCACGGGGGUCCUGGGUUCAAUCCCCAGCACCUCCA
rnacentral:tRNA from 1 species